UCGUCUUGCGGAAGGCAUUGAUCUGUUCACCUGAUAUGGUCGCUUUGUCCUGAGGGGAAAUUCAGGCGGGGUGGGCAGGGAGCCGAGUAGCGAACCCGACCGAAAGACAG
rnacentral:ncRNA from 11 species